rnacentral:sRNA from 1 species
GCUGGGUGUGGUGAUGCACACCGGUGAUCCCAAUUAGUCGGAGGCUGAGGCAAGAGGAUCACAAGUUCAAGGCCAACCUCAGCAAUUUAGUGAGAGAUCCUGUCUCAA